rnacentral:rRNA from 1 species
GACGAACGCUGGCGGCGUGCUUAACACAUGCAAGUCGAACGGAAAGGCCCCCAUCUUGGUGGGGGUGCUCGAGUGGCGAACGGGUGAGUAACACGUGGGUGAUCUGCCCUGUACUUCGGGAUAAGCUUGGGAAACUGGGUCUAAUACCGGAUAGGACCAUGGUUUAGUGUCUCAUGGUGGAAAGAUUAUUGUUUUGGUGCAGGAUGAGCUCGCGGCCUAUCAGCUUGUUGGUGGGGUAAUGGCCUACCAAGGCGUCGACGGGUAGCCGCCCUGAGAGGGUGGACGGCCACAUUGGGACUGAGAUACGGCCCAGACUCCUACGGGAGGCAGCAGUGGGGAAUAUUGCGCAAUGGGCGCAAGCCUGAUGCAGCGACGCCGCGUGGGGGAUGACGGCCUUCGGGUUGUAAACUCCUUUCGUUAGGGACGAAGCCGCACUUUUUUUGGGUGUGGUGACGGUACCUUUGUUAAGAAGCACCGGCUAACUACGUG